CUGGGGGCAGGGGAGCGUGGGGAUGCUGAGCCCCGCUGGAGCCGCCCCACUCGUGCCCAGGCUUUGCUGGCAGAGCCGUGUCUGCUGCCUUGCCAGCUUUCCUUCCCAUUGUGGGCUGAGCAACGUUUUUCCCUGGAUAAAGCCAAUUUCCUGCCCUUGGAUCUCAUCUCUCCCAGUCCCAAGAUUACAUCUCCCAUCUCUGUAGUGGUCGCGGCUUCUCCAGCUUUCGCCUUCCCUGACAAGUGUCGGCCUUGUUCCCCCAGGACAGCAGCCACGCUGCGCGGGGCAGGGGGUGAAGCACGCAGGGAGCUGGGCCUGGCCCCAGCGCUGCUGGGGGAACCACGCAGCCCCCACCACGCCACAGUGCUCAGCCGUGCGCAGAACAAGGCACGCUGUGUUCCCGCGGGAGCCCCUGAAAGGCGGCUCUGUCUGCUGCUGCCGCCGGGCUGCCUCCGCUGCCCCCCCAGAACGCCAGCCCGGGGGCAGCGGCCCCAGCACCAGCCCCAAUCCCUGCAGCCCCCUCCCAGCCCCGUGCACAGCCGCUCUGUGCGGCACAGCUCCUGCCGCAUCCCCCCCGCCCCAGUGACACCCAUUGAGCACGGACCCGUUAGCCCUCCCGUACAACGGCGGGCAGCCCCAUCAGCAGGAAGGACGGCACCACAGCUCCACGCACCCGACCCGUUUAAUACAAGCACAAGGCGCCCGUGCCCGCUGCCCUGCCCGCGGGGCCGGGGGAGGCAACGCUCUGCAAAGGGAAACACGCUCCUGGAAGGCUUUGACUGUGGCAGCAGGUGCCCACACUGGCAGCCAAAGCUGGAAGAGGGGGCUGAGCUGAGCAGGGGGCAUGGAUGCAGCGUCACACCCCUCAAUGCCAGCCAAAGGCCCCGCGGGGGUGUGAGGAGGGGGCCUGGUCCCUCACCUGUCUCUCUGAUGGGGUUUGCAAGCUCAGUGCCGUUGCCAGGCAUUGCAUCUCCUGCCUGCACUGUCCCCUACCACCAGCCACGCUCAGCCCCCACUUGCCUCACACUUCAGGUGCCCACAGCUCCACGUCCGCCUGCUGCCAGCUGGGGGCAUGGGUGGGCAGCACAGAACCCCUCUGCCCUGCACGCACAAGCAGUGUCCACAGUUCAGCAGCUGGGUUCAUACCAAAGAAUGCAGCCGGGCUGGGGCAUGCGAGACAAGGUGAUGGGGGAUGCUAAGAGACGGAGGGGCACCUCCAGCCUGGGGGACCUCGACUCCCCCCAGCUCCUCGCCCACACCCCUCCCUGGUGCUGUGGCACCCGGCUGCACUCAGGCCAGGGGCUCCGGGAAGCCCUCAGCCUGGGGCUGGGGCAGGCAGCAUCCCUCCUUCCUGGAGCCGGACCAGCGAGCGGCAGUGUGCGCGGGGACCGAGGGGAACGGGACCAACCUCUGCGUAUAAAUAUGCCGCUGGGGAGGGCAGGGUGGGGCGGGCUCAUCGUUAGCACCAUGGUGGCAGGG
rnacentral:lncRNA from 1 species